rnacentral:rRNA from 1 species
UACGUAGGGUGCAAGCGUUGUCCGGAAUUAUUGGGCGUAAAGAGCUCGUAGGCGGUUUGUUGCGUCGGCUGUGAAAUCCCGAGGCUCAACCUCGGGUCUGCAGUCGAUACGAGCAAACUAGAGUGUUGCAGGGGAGACUGGAAUUCCUGGUGUAGCGGUGAAAUGCGCAGAUAUCAGGAGGAACACCGGUGGCGAAGGCGGGUCUCUGGGCAAACAACUGGACGCUGAGGGGCGAAAGCGUGGGGAGCAAACAGG